rnacentral:rRNA from 1 species
UACAGAGGGGGCAAGCGUUGUUCGGAAUUACUGGGCGUAAAGGGCGCGUAGGCGGCCUGUUAAGUCGGACGUGAAAUCCCCGGGCUCAACCCGGGAACUGCGUCCGAUACUGGCAGGCUUGAAUCCGGGAGAGGGAUGCGGAAUUCCAGGUGUAGCGGUGAAAUGCGUAGAUAUCUGGAGGAACACCGGUGGCGAAGGCGGCAUCCUGGACCGGCAUUGACGCUGAGGCGCGAAAGCCAGGGGAGCAAACGGG